GCGGCCUAUCAGCUUGUUGGUGAGGUAAUGGCCCACCAAGGCAACGACGGGUAGCUGGUCUGAGAGGAUGGUCAGCCACACUGGGACUGAGACACGGCCCAGACUCCUACGGGAGGCAGCAGUGGGGAAUCUUGCGCAAUGGGCGAAAGCCUGACGCAGCAACGCCGCGUGCGGGAAGAAGGCUUUCGGGCUGUAAACCGCUUUCAGCAGGAACGAAAAUGACGGUACCUGCAGAAGAAGGAGCGGCCAACUAUGUGCCAGCAGCCGCGGUGAUACAUAGGCUUCAAGCGUUGUCCGGAUUUAUUGGGCGUAAAGAGCUCGUAGGCGGUUUAGUAAGUCGGGUGUUAAAACUCUGGGCUCAACCCGGAGACGCCAUCCGAUACUACUAUGACUUGAGUUCAGGAGGGGAGACUGGAAUUCCU
rnacentral:rRNA from 1 species